GGCCCGGUAGCGUAGUGGUUUAACGCGCGGCCCUGUCAAGGCCGAGAUCACGGGUUCAAAUCCCGUCCGGGUCGCCA
rnacentral:tRNA from 1 species